rnacentral:rRNA from 1 species
GACGAACGCUGGCGGCGUGCCUAACACAUGCAAGUCGAGCGGGGUUCCCUUCGGGGAACUUUAGCGGCGGACGGGUGAGUAACACGUGGGUAACCUGCCUCAUAGAGGGGGAUAGCCUCCCGAAAGGGAGAUUAAUACCGCAUAACAUCCAGCUAACGCAUGUUAGUUUGAUCAAAGGAGUAAUCCGCUAUGAGAUGGACCCGCGGCGCAUUAGCUAGUUGGUGAGGUAACGGCUCACCAAGGCGACGAUGCGUAGCCGACCUGAGAGGGUGGUCGGCCACAUUGGAACUGAGACACGGUCCAGACUCCUACGGGAGGCAGCAGUGGGGAAUAUUGCACAAUGGGCGAAAGCCUGAUGCAGCAACGCCGCGUGAGUGAAGAAGGCCUUCGGGUUGUAAAGCUCUGUCUUUUGGGACGAUAAUGACGGUACCAAAGGAGGAAGCCACGGCUAACUACGUGCCAGCCGCCGCCGUAA